AGCGAACGCUGGCGGCAGGCCUAACACAUGCAAGUCGAACGAACCUUUCGGGGUUAGUGGCGGACGGGUGAGUAACACGUGGGAACGUGCCUUUAGGUUCGGAAUAACUCAGGGAAACUUGUGCUAAUACCGAAUGUGCCCUUCGGGGGAAAGAUUUAUCGCCUUUAGAGCGGCCCGCGUCUGAUUAGCUAGUUGGUUGAGGUAAUGGCUCCCCAAGGCGACGAUCAGUAGCUGGUCUGAGAGGAUGAUCAGCCACAUUGGGACUGCGACACGGCCCAAACUCCUACGGGAGGCAGCAGUGGGGAAUCUUGCGCAAUGGGCGAAAGCCUGACGCAGCCAUGCCGCGUGAAUGAUGAAGGUCUUAGGAUUGUAAAAUUCUUUCACCGGGGACGAUAAUGACGGUACCCGGAGAAGAAGCCCCGGCUAACUUCGUG
rnacentral:rRNA from 1 species